GAUGAACGCUGGCGGCGUGCUUAACACAUGCAAGUCGAACGGAAAGGCUCCUGCUUGCAGGGGUACUCGAGUGGCGAACGGGUGAGUAACACGUGGGUGAUCUGCCCUGCACUUCGGGAUAAGCCUGGGAAACUGGGUCUAAUACCGGAUAGGACGAUGGUUUGGAUGCCAUUGUGGAAAGUUUUUCGGUGUUGGAUGAGCUCGCGGCCUAUCAGCUUGUUGGUGGGGUAAUGGCCUACCAAGGCGUCGACGGGUAGCCGGCCCUGGAGGGUGUACGGGCACCUUGGUACUGAGAUGGGGCCCAGUAUGCAACGGUAGGCAGUAGUGGGGAAUAUUGCACAAUGGGGGCAAGCCUGAUGCAGCGGCGCCGGGUUGGGGAUGACGGCCUUCGGGUUGUAAACUCCUUUCGCUAGGGACGAAGCGGAAGUGACGGUACCUGGAGAAGAAGCACCGGCUAACUACGUG
rnacentral:rRNA from 1 species